UUUUCAGUGGAGCGACAACCAUGGACAAGGCCUCCCAGAGAUUUUUCAAUGCCAAAAGACCUCAAAGAAACACUGCAUGUGCUGCUGCAGAAAGUAGACAGCCUGGCGGCCUCCCAGAGGGAAAUUCUACUUCUAUUGCGGAGGAACCAGAGUCGUCAAAGGGAGGACGAUAUCUUGGACCUCAAGACAGCUCAGUGCAAGGAGGAAUUGGAGGACCUUGAGAACCACCUUAAGGACCCUGAAUUUAGAAAGAAAGUGGUGGGUGCCAACUUAAUUCAGAGAACAAAAAAAAAAAAA